GGAUGAUGCCCUGGGCCGCUCUCCCUGGGGCUGGCCUGGCCGACUGCCGCGGGGAUGCAGGGGAGGGGCCUGAACCAGCGCCUCCAUCCUGCACUUCUGCUCCUGCCCCCUCUUCAAUCCACUGCCCAAGAUGACCACAGUGCAUCCAUUCAAACCGCAUGUAAAAGACUAGUCAAGGAUGUGGGGGAAAGUUCAUGAUGCAGCAUUAACUGGGAAAGGCAGGCCACAAGAUGGUUCCCAUGCCACGUCGUUGGGCCUCCACAAAGCCAGCUUCUCCUCGGCAGUGUCCAGCUGCUGCUGGGACCCUCUAGUGACCGGGGGCUCG
rnacentral:lncRNA from 1 species